rnacentral:rRNA from 1 species
GAUGAACGCUAGCUACAGGCUUAACACAUGCAAGUCGAGGGACCGGCGCACGGGUGAGUAACACGUAUCCAACCCGCCCUUUACUCGGGGACAGCCUUACGCAGGAAAUAUUAAUACCCGACAUAAAGGAUGGGGAUGCGUUCCAUUAGGUUGUUGGUGAGGUAACGGCCAACCAAGCCUUCGAUGGCUAGGGGUUCUGAGAGGAAGGUCCCCGAGAUUGGAACUAGGGCACAGACCACAAUCGUAGGGGAGGGAGGGGAGAAGGGUAUUAGUCGAUGAGGGCUGACCUGAACCAGCCGAGUGGAGUGAAAAGUGAAGGGUUAUGAGACGUAAGGUUGUGUUAUAUAAGGAUAGGUAUUAGAUGAAUAAGGAACGGCUAACUCCGUGCCAGCAGCCGCGGUAAUUC